rnacentral:rRNA from 1 species
GAUGAACGCUGGCGGCGUGCCUAAUACAUGCAAGUCGAGCGAACAGACGAGGAGCUUGCUCCUCUGACGUUAGCGGCGGACGGGUGAGUAACACGUGGAUAACCUACCUAUAAGACUGGGAUAACUUCGGGAAACCGGAGCUAAUACCGGAUAAUAUAUUGAACCGCAUGGUUCAAUAGUGAAAGACGGUUUUGCUGUCACUUAUAGAUGGAUCCGCGCCGCAUUAGCUAGUUGGUAAGGUAACGGCUUACCAAGGCAACGAUGCGUAGCCGACCUGAGAGGGUGAUCGGCCACACUGGAACUGAGACACGGCCCAGACUCCUACGGGAGGCAGCAGUAGGGAAUCUUCCGCAAAGGGCGAAAGCCUGACGGAGCAACGCCGCGUGAGUGAUGAAGGUCUUCGGAUCGUAAAACUCUGUUAUUAGGGAAGAACAAAUGUGCAAGUAACUAUGCACGUCUUGACGGUACCUAAUCAGAAAGCCACGGCUAACUACGUG